rnacentral:rRNA from 1 species
GGCAUGCGCUGCUAUACAUGCAGUCGACGCUUCUUUCCUCCCGAGUGCUUGCUCUCCUUUGAAAGAGGAGUGGCGGACGGGUGAAUAACACGUGUGUAACCUACCCAUCAGAGGGAGAAACACUUGAAAACAGGUGCAUAAUACCGCAUACCUUUUUAUGCCGCGGGGAAAAAGAGUGAAGGGCUCUUUCGGGUGUCACUGAUGGAUGGACCCUCGGUGCAUUAGCUAGUUGGUGAGGUAACGGCUCACGACGGCCACCAUGCACAACCUACCUGAGAGGGUGAUCGGCCAGACUGGGACUGACACCCGGCCCACACUCCUACGGGAGGCAUCAGUAAGCAAUCUUCAGGGAUGAACGAAAGUCUGACCGACCACCCCCGCGUGAGUGAAGAAUGUUUUCGGAUCGAAUAACUCUGUUGUUAAAAAAAAAGAAGGACGUUAGUAACUGAACGUCCGCUGACGGUAUCUAACCAGAAAGCCACGGCUAACUACCUGCCAGCCGCCGCGGUAAUACGUAGGUGGCAAGCGUUGUCAGGAUUUGUUGGGCGUAAAACCAGCGCAGGCUGCUUCUUAAGGAUGAUGUGAAAGCCCCCGGCUCAACCGGGGAGGGUCGUUGGAAACUGGAAUACUUGGCUGCAGAAGAGGAUAGUGGAAUUCCAUGUGUAGCGAUGAAAUGCGUAUAUUGUGGAGGAACCCGGUGGCGAAGGCGGCUCUCUGGUCUGUAAUGACGCUGAUGCUCGAAUCGUGAGGAGCAACAUGAUUACAACGCUGGUAGCCCCGCCGUAACGAUACUGCUAUUGUAGGAGGCUUCCGCCCUUGGUGCUGCAACAAAGUAAUAAUCCUCCGGCGGGGAGUCCACCGCAUGUUGAACUCGAGUAAUGAGGGCGCCCCACAGCGGAGGAGAUGUGUUUUAUUCGAGCACGCGAACAUCCUACGCGUGUGGCAUCUUUGACCCUCAAAAGAACAGCUUUCCUUCGGGACAAAUGACGGUGAUGAUGGUGUCACCACUCCGUCAGAGAUGUGGGAUACUCCCCACGACGCACCUAUUGUAGUGCAUCAUUAGUGGCAUCUAGAA